rnacentral:tRNA from 1 species
GCCUUCGUGGUGUAGUGGUUAGCACGCUCGACUCGUAACCGAAGGUCCGUGGUUUGGUUCCCGACAAAGGCG